CAGUAGCCGCGGUAAUACGUAGGUGGUAAGCGUUGUCCGGAAUUAUUGGGCGUAAAGGGCUCGCAGGCGGUUUCCUAAGUCUGAUGUGAAAGCCCCCGGCUCAACCGGGGAGGGUCAUUGGAAACUGGGAAACUUGAGUGCAGGAGAGAAAAGUGGAAUUCCUAGUGUAGCGGUGAAAUGCGUAGAGAUUAGGAGGAACACCAGUGGCGAAGGCGGCUUUUUGGCCUGUAACUGACACUGAGGCGCGAAAGCGUGGGGAGCAAACAGGAUUAGAUACCCGAGUAGUCCCUGUCUCUUAUAC
rnacentral:rRNA from 1 species